rnacentral:rRNA from 2 species
UGGGGAAUAUUGCACAAUGGGCGCAAGCCUGAUGCAGCCAUGCCGCGUGUAUGAAGAAGGCCUUCGGGUUGUAAAGUACUUUCAGCGGGGAUGAAGGGAGUAAAGUUAAUACCUUUGCUCAUUGACGUUACCCGCAGAAGAAGCACCGGCUAACUCCGUGCCAGCAGCCGCGGUAAUACGGAGGGUGCAAGCGUUAAUCGGAAUUACUGGGCGUAAAGCGCACGCAGGCGGUUUGUUAAGUCAGAUGUGAAAUCCCCGGGCUCAACCUGGGAACUGCAUCUGAUACUGGCAAGCUUGAGUCUCGUAGAGGGGGGUAGAAUUCCAGGUGUAGCGGUGAAAUGCGUAGAGAUCUGGAGGAAUACCGGUGGCGAAGGCGGCCCCCUGGACGAAGACUGACGCUCAGGUGCGAAAGCGUGGGGAGCAAACA